rnacentral:lncRNA from 1 species
AUUUCAUUAUAAAAAGAUUGAGUUUUCUUUCUAGAUUGAUUUAAGUACUCACUUUUUACUCUCAUUUUCUUAGAAUGAAAUGUUCAACCUGUAAUACCCAAUUGAUGCCCGGGGCCCAAAUUAAUCAAUCUAACCCAAUUACAUUUGGCCCAAUAAGGCCCAAAUCACUAAACCAAACCCCAAAUCUCAGUCUAACCCUAAAUAGUGGUUAACAGCAGCUACCCAAACGUCGUGCACGCCCCACAUCGCAGCAAUCAGUAGUCGCACCCCACACACGUCGUAGUAACCGCCCACGUUCAGCCCUUCGCGCGUACGUCGCACAUGUCUCCUCUAGUACGCACCUGCAAUAAGCCACGAACGAUAUCAGCAAGAGAGACAGGGAAAAAACUGGUAAAAGGAUUGGGGAGCUAUAUAAAGGGAAUUGAUUUAUGUAAUAGGGUUUAGCAAAAAUUUUGUAUGAAAAUUAACAAGAAAUACAAGAGAAAGAAAACGAUUUUGGAAGGUAACAGAUUUUGUUCUGUUCUUUUACUGUUUUCACUUUAUUUUGUUUUUCUUUUGUUAUCCUAAAACAAAAAUAAAUAAACAGAAAAAGGAAAGGAGGACUUACCGUCGUUGGGCGCCCUCAUUCGUCGUUAUCUGUUCGGAGUUGGGAGAACGGCAGAGAAAGGGAGGCUGCAGCGCAAACACUUGAAA